rnacentral:pre_miRNA from 1 species
CUCUUCUUCAAAGGCUUCUAACAUUGCAAGACCAACUAUUGGCAAGUUCGAAGUCUUUAAGGGGAGUG